rnacentral:rRNA from 1 species
UACAGGUCUCAAGCGUUGUUCGGAUUCAUUGGGCGUAAAGGGUGCGUAGGCGGCGCGGUAAGUCGGGUGUGAAAUCUUGGAGCUUAACUCCGAAACUGCAUUCGAUACUGCCGUGCUUGAGGACUGGAGAGGAGACUGGAAUUUACGGUGUAGCGGUGAAAUGCGUAGAUAUCGUAAGGAAGACCAGUGGCGAAGGCGGGUCUCUGGACAGUUCCUGACGCUGAGGCACGAAGGCCAGGGGAGCAAACGGG